GUGUAUCACGUACAUUUAUCUUGAUGUCGUUUUGCAGCACUUAAACUACACUAGCAACACACGUACAUCUCACACACACACACACACACACACACAUUCAGGCACACAGACAGCUGAGCUGCAAUACUGUAUGUAUUACAGCCCCGUUGUCGUUAGUCGUAAUGAAACGCAAUGGACCUGCGUGUUAAGGGCCUCGUUGUGGUCCUCGUUGUGGACCCGUGCCAGUCGCACGCAUUGCCUUAAAUGCGAAUUUUGCGCAAAGUAUCCUUAACUUUAAGAUACGCACACUCGAAACACUCUCGCAUUCGUCAUUUGGACACUUGGCCACACACUCACGCACUCACGCACACACACACACACACAGAAUAAUAGGCAGCGCUGUGCAUGGGAUUCGUAUUUAUGACGUGCACAUAAAGUACCAUAAAAUGAAGACAAUACGUAGUUGCAUCAACAAUACCUUCGACGUUAUCUUCGUUCUGCAAGGUUCAUUGAUGGGAGAUUCUUAAACCAUAACGUAAAGCGGAUUUUCAGCUAUUUUGAAGGGAAAAUUUGGCCAUGGACUCAAAAGGAAAGUGGUUUGUGCUUGUGAAGAACUGCACAAUAUUUUCAUAAUAUCUAAAAUACGCAUUUGAAAUUCGUAAAAAUUUCAUUUUAGAUGAUUGUAGAAUUUAUCUCUUAUGUGUUGUUCUGUUGAGAUUCUCGGUAUCUCCUCAAUAUGCAAAGCUGUUUCGCAAUUAAAAUGUAUAGUUAUUUCUAUAAUAUCGAUAGUCAUCGCAUCUAAUAUUGAUAAAUAGCGAUGUAAUAUAGGUAAAUAGGAAUUCAAUGACAAACCAAUAUAAUUUAAAAGAAUAAAUUAUUUAAAAUAUAAUACGAAAUAAUAUUAAAUAGUAGUAGAACUAGUUGAUUUGCCUAGAGACUUCAUGUUGAGGGCUUACAAAUGUAUCAUCUCAUUAAAAUAACUUGAAUGUAAAACGAA